CCUGAGAAACCCAAAAGAUCGAUUGGGGAGAUUCAUCGUCAGCUCAUUUUGUAUAUAUGCAAGUUAUGAUAUGGGUUACUACUUGUAGUAUUGCCUAUACAUUCUUGUAUAUUUCUUUGCAAGAUGUUGUCGGCGUGCACUUCUCCCCUAGUAGGACGUCGCGACCCGUUGAGUAUCAAUCUACGGCCCAGGUGGAAGAUUUUAAUGAAUUUUUUAAAUUUUAUUAAAAACCCUUGGUGUUUCCUGAUUGAUAUUCGUCGGUAAUCAUAUGGUAUUGAGCCGCAAAUUUUUGCGUCCAUAUCCAUCACAAGCGCGUAUUAAUUACUAAUAGUACGGACUUAGUGCUGUCGUUGGUAUUAAUCAGCUGUUGGUUGUAUGGAAUUCUAGGACUGGCUUAUUUAUAUUUAAUACUGGUCAGCGAUGCUACUGCUUUGGG
rnacentral:rRNA from 1 species